rnacentral:tRNA from 1 species
CCACGGAUAGCUCAGUUUGGUAGAGCAUCAGAUUAGGUUCUGAUUGUCGAAGGUUCGAAUCCUUCUCCAUUGGCCU